rnacentral:lncRNA from 1 species
UGAUUUUUCCCGAGGUUGCACUCUUUUGCUCUCUUUUUCCCCUGAAUUUUCACUAAGUCCAAUUUCUUCAUACUUAGCUAUUUUUUCCUCAUUCUUUGGUCUUUCUUCUUCAUUUUAUCUCAUCUUUCACUUGUUUUGAUAUGAUUCUUCGACUAAAUUCAUGCAAUAACGGACUGUCAUGAGUUUACAACAUUUAUGUCAGGCCAUAUUAAUUGUCAUUCUUUU